UAAAACUGCUGAGAUAUUUUGGUGGUAAAUGUUGCUAUGUUUUGACUUUUUAAGUCCCGCCCACAAUUCCUGUUGGUCAAUCUGAAGGGUCCGUCAUCCAGGGCUUCCAGAGUCUGCUGCUUUGAUCAGCUCAAGGAGUUCCAGAACCCAAAAUUCACAGGGAGAAAAACGGAGACCAGAACCUGCGGGUAAAAUUUACUGUCCUGAGUACAGGAGAGCUAAUCAUUGAGAGAACCCAUUUCAGCACACACACACACACACACACACACACACACACACACACACACACACACACACACACACACACACACACACACACACACACACACACACACACACACACACACACACACACACACACACACACACACACACACACACACAAGCACUGAUAUGUGUGUGUGUGUGAUUUUCCCUGCCCCUCUUGGUCAGGCUUCAGUGUGGAUGAAGCGGGUCGGAGUUUGCUGAUGAUUGGGAAUGUAACAGUGAGGGAUUCGGGAUUGUACAUGUGUACAGCGGAGAUCAGCGUCGGCUCUGUUCGAGCAUUAGCAUUCAUCCAUAUCACAGAGCCUGCAGUUCUGAAAGUAGAUGGCCAUGUGUCUCAGUUUGUCUCUCAUGGUGCUGUAAUUGUGUUGGAUUGUUCUGUUAGAGGAACUCCAGCUCCGGUGUUGUGCUGCUGCAGGUCACUGAGCGUCUUCAUCUAACAGCUCUCCAACAGCUCACUCAUUCUGUACAGCGCCAUGAGCAGGGAUUCAGGAGAGUAUCUGUGUGUUGCUGAAAAUGAGAUGGGAGGAUGAUAUCUGUGAAAGUAAAGGUUGCAGGCGGUUACUCUCACUGGGAGCAGUGGGAGCCAUGCAGUGUCACAUGUGGGUGUGGCCUCCAACAGUGAAUCAGAUUUUGCAACAACCCAAAACCAACCAAAGGGGGAGCAGCAUGUGAGGGUUAAGAUGUUGAGUCCAGGCAGUGCCAGACAUCCUUAUGUUCAGUGAACAUCAGUGAGAACUCAAAGCAGAUGCAGCAUACUGGAGGUUCACAUGGAGAACGUUCCUCCCAGUGUGGGUCCUUUGCUGAAAGUUGUUGUAUCUGCUUUGACUCCGGUGUACUGGACGGCUGUUCAUGUAUCAGCAGGAAUGAUGAACGGCUUCACCAUCAGCCGCAGGAAUUUCAGACAAGAAUCCUAACUGGAGUUUCACACAGGUAACUUUUCCAGACAGGGUCAGAAUGUAUUUACAUACACCAGAGACGUAAAAAUAAAUAAACUGUAAUAGGACUAAAGCUGUCUGUGUGUGUGUGUGUGUGUGUGUGUGUGUGUGUGUGUGUGUGUGUGUGUGUGUGUGUGUAGGAGAGAUCAUAAGAAUAACCCAUGUGGUGAGAGGUGUGGAUGCAGAGGGAGUUUUGCUAGUCGAUGUGGUCAUUAAUGCAUUUAUUCCUGCAGUGUUUUUAUCCCCAGUGCUACAUCAGCAGGUUCAUUAGAACUUUACAUUAAUCAUCGAUGCAUUAAUAACAUUAAUCAGAUGUGUGGAAUAAAGAUCAUCUUGGGUAAAAAUCCUUGUUUCUAGGACUUUGAUGAGACAUAUGUACAAGUUGGCUCUGGUCAGAUUUACUCCUGGUCUACCCAGAAUUCUUUUCAGCAGGGUGUCAGCUUGGUGCUGAUUCUGCGCUGUAAUCACUUGCUGGAGUUUGAUGGAUCAGUGAAAUGUUUCGCUCCACUACUGAAGCAAAUCUGUCAGACAUCAGCAGCUCCUACAACAUGCUCAACUUCAGGCUGUACUUUCACAUCACAGCCACAUUAUCACUGCCAGGUCAUCACAACCAUACAACAAUACUAAUGACAAUACUCACAUCACAACCAUACAACAAUACUAAUGACUAUACUCACAAAGUCCAUCAAUUUCAUCAUGGUCAUGUUCAGGGCUGAGCAGGAGGAACGACAUACACCAUGUCUGGAACGUCAGUAAAAGUCCAAAAUAAUUCUGUAAAAAAACCUUCAGUUUUGCUACAUAAUUAUAAAAUAGAUCAGGGCAUGCGUGUUUUAGUUUGUGUAGAUGAUGAGGGAGAGAAAUGCCCAGAAGGAUUCUUGCUGGAUGAAGCACUUUACUGUGCUGGUAAAUACUUUUUAAUGAUUUCUGAUCAAAUAAAUUGAAUUAUGUUGUCAUGUCAUGUAUUUUAAACUACAACUAAAGUAGCUGAUAUUGUAGUGUAGGAGAGUUAGGGUUUAGGAUUGGGAUAACAGUUUAGUGUUUAGAUAUGUGAUUAAGGUUCAGGAUUAGGGUUUAGAAUUGGGAUUAAGGUUUAAGACUGGGAUUAGGGUUUAGAAUUGGGAUUAAUGUUCAGGGUUUGGGAUUAGGUUUUAGGAUUAAGGUUUAGAAUUGGGAUUAAUGUUCAGGCUGGAUGAUUAAGGUUUAAGACUGGGAUUAGGGUUUGGAAUUGGGAUUAAUGUUCAGGGUGUAUGAUUAAGAUUUAGGAUUGGGAUUAGGGUUUAGAAUUGGGAUUAAUGUUCAGGGCAUACGGUUAAGGUUUAGGAUUGGGAUUAGGGUUUAGAAUUGGGAUUAAUGUUCAGGGCGUACGAUUAAGGUUUAGGAUUGGGAUUAGGUAAGUAGGGUAUGAUAAUUGUCUAGGAUUUGCAGAUCCUCCUUGUUUAUAGUUACAUGUGGAACAGCAGUGAAAGAAGAUAGUUCCUGUUCUCACUCACAUUAUAGCAACUAUAUACAGUCAUUGGUUCAUACGUUGGCACUGCACCAUGCAGGAGCAUCUCAAUUAUUUCCAAGCUACGUGCAGAUACGACUCUCAAAAUAACUGUAGGAUACGCACAGCAGAUAUCUGCCAAAAGCCUAUGUACAGUUAAAAUCGAGUAUAAUUAGGGUGUUAGUUUGUGUGUUGAUGUGUUUUUAUAUGAUGUUGUGUUUUAGACGAGGAUGAGUGUGUGUGUGUCAGAUUCUCCAUGUUCUCAGUCCUGCAUUAACAUCAUGAGGGGCUUAGCUGCAGCUGUCCAUCAGGAUUCACCAUCAGCACCGAGAGCAGCAACAGCUGUCAAGGUCUCUCUCUCUCUCUCUCUCUCUCUCUCUCUCUCUCUCUCUCUCUCUCUCUCUCUCUCUCUCUCUCUCUCUCUCUCUCUCUCUCUCUCUCUCUCUCUUACACACACACACACAUGCACACACACAUUCACAAACCUUAUAAUUGUAUGUGUGUGUGUGAACGCUGGUUCUGAGUCUCAGCCUGCUGCAUUGCACAUAGCACAUUUUGCCAAGCAGAAGAAUCAGGAACAUGCAGUUAUGUGGGAAACUCUUAUCAAAAUAAAAGAGUAAAUAAUUUUACUUGCCCAGUGGAGUACCUAAUGAAUUUAUCAUGUUUGUUCCACAACUGCAGUGUAUACAUGAUUUAAGUGUCUUGCUGAUUUGCAGUUCAUCACUCCCCUGGCAUUUCCGGUUCCUGGAACGUUCAGGUACGUUCAGGCUUUGCUCACGCUGUAAUGAGGUGAACAUCUCAAGGCUAAUUUAUUGAUUUAUAGUCUUAGAGCAGCGCUGGUGGUGCGUGCAUUGUGGUGAGUUGGCGCCGGAGAUCGCGUUCAGUGAUCGUGACAUUAUCCGGUGGCUGAAUGAUAUGUGUAUGUAGAUGUCUAUGUAUAUGUAUUUAAUAAUAAUAAUACUUUGUUUUAUAAAGUGCCUUUAAAAGCAGCUUCUCAAAGCGCUGUACACAAAUUAAGCAGUACACAGAACAAUAAAUGUAGUGCCUUGUAUGUCAACAACAUGAUCUUAAAAUCGACACGGAACCUGACUGGGAGCCAGUGUAAGGUCAUCAAAACAGGAGUAAUAUGGUCACAUUUCCUGGUUCCCGUCAGGAUGCGGGCAGCAGAGUUUUGAACAUAUUGCAAUUUAUUGAUUGUGGAUUUAGACACUCCGGCUAAAAUGGCAUUACAGUAAUCCAGCCAGGUGACAACAAAUGAGUUAAUCAGUUUUUCAGCUGCAGAGAAGUUUAGCAUUGGGCACAGUCUAGCUGUAUUUCUGAGGUGAAAAAAUUAUGUCUUCACAGUGCUCUGAACAAAAAAAUCAAAUGUGAGGCUGGUAUCAAAAAUUACUCCAAGGUUCCUCAUUUUACUUUGGGUCUCUAGAACAGAGCUAUCAACAAACAAAGACAGUGGAGCCGCUUUGCGAAUGUGAUGACGGGAAACUAUAAGCACAACUUCAGUUUUUCCGCUGUUCAGACACAGAAAGUUAUUAUUCAUCCAUGUUUUUAUUUCAGAAAUACAAUCAGAAAGAUAACAAACAUCAAUGUUUUCACCAGAUUUUGAGUGAAUGUAGAUUUGGGUAUCAUCAGCAUAAAAGUGAUAAUUGUGAUAAAAAGUGAGGCCGAGCGAAUGCAGCAGAUGCCUAAGUGGAGAUAGAUAAAUAUUGAAAAGUAGAGGGCCUAAAACUGAACCCUGAGGAACACCAGUGAGCACAGAGCUAGUGUCAGACCUGUAGCCAUGCACAGAAAUAAACUGGCCAUGGUCAGUAAAAUAGGAUUUAAACCAGUAUAAAACUGUCCCAGACACACCAAAAACACUUUCAAGGCGGGUAAGUAAAAGACCAUGAUCCACAGUAUAGAAAGCAGCUCUAAGAUCAAGAAGAAUAAGAAUGGAAGUACUCCAGAAUCAGAGGCCAUCAACAAGUCAUUGGUGACUUUGACCAACGCCGUUUCAGUGCUGUGAAAUUUACGAAAACCUGACUGAAGGGGUUCAAAGAGGUUAUUAAUUGUAAGAUGAUUACAUAGUUGAGAGGCAACAACACGCUAAAGUAUUUUUGCCAAAAACAGACGAUUUGAGAUGGGACGAAAAUUGUUAAAUCAUCCACGGAAACAUUUUCUUUCUUUGGUACAGGUGUAACAGCAGCAGUCUUUAGUACUGCUGGAAUGACCCGUCUCCAGUGAUUCAUUUAUAAUGCUGAGGAUAGCAGGGCACCAAACAUCGAAGCAUGAUUUAAAUAGGUUCGUGGAAAUUGGAUCCAGCAAGCAAGUGGUUGAUUUCAUGCUGUAUUGCUCCCUUGUGAGAGGCUCAGAAUCAAGCAGUGAGAAAUGAGUGAAAGAAACACCAGUGAACCUAGAUGGACGAAGGAGUGAAGAGGCAGAGUCAGAUGUGACAGAAAGUUCUUUGCGAACAUUAGCAAUCUUAGAAUUAAAAAACCAAAGAAAAGAAUCACAAAGCUGCUGAGAAAUAGGCAAAGUGGUAACAACAUUAACUUGAAGCAAUUUGAUUAUGGUUUGUAACAAGUGUCUGGGAUUAUUUUGAUUAUUUACAAUAUCCUGAGAGAAGUAAGAGGAUCUUUCAGUCUCUAUUAGUGCUCGAAAAUCCCCCAGAACAUCCUUCCAUGCUUGAUAGUAGACAUUCAGUCCAGUAAGGCGCCAUUUACGCUCCAUUUUCCGACAAGCAGCCUUUCUAGAGCGCAGAUUGUCAUUAUACCAGGGAGCAGAGCGGGCGAAUGUGACCUUACGUGACCUUAGAGGAGCAACAGUGUCAAGAUUAGCAGCAAGAGCAGAAUUUAACUGUAGAACUUUCUCCUCCAGCAAUAAGGGAUGUAGAUCGCUUAAGGUGGAAACAACAGAAUUGGAGAAAGCUGUCUGAUCGAUAGUCUUCCACUUCCACUUCCACUAAAAACAAUAUAACUUAAAAAACUUGCAGUUAUUUAAAAAAAUAUGACUUAAAAUAACAAACAAAAACAAACCAAACGGUAACAGGAGCGCCAGCAAAACACGCCAGCAUACCCUGUCACCGGAACCGGAUAUGUAUGUCAAGCCGUGGUACCUGUGAGUAAUCAUACCACUUCCUGUCUGGUGUUUGUUCAACCCAAUGGUAAGUACACCUCUCCCUUUUGACAUUGGGACUUGGUAGAUUUAGUUUGACUCUGAUCUUUGUGUUAAGGUGAGAGUGGUGAAUUGAGCAUCUAAAUCUUCUCUAAGGCCAAUCCCUAGCUGAAGACGCUACAUGUGACUCCGCUCCUGUUUUGCUUGAUCGGUUUCUUGUUUUGUUUUACUUCAUUGUGUUGCUUUACGGUCAUUUUCUAAACUGUUUUGCUUUACCAUUAUUUUCUUUGUUUUACUUAUUGUUUUGCUCUAGUCUUUUAUUUUCUAUUUUUUCAUUGUGCUGUUGUUUUUGUUGACUUUAGUUUUGAAUGCAUGUUUGGUUUAUGUUCUGUAACCACAUGUCGUGUGAGACACUAUUUGGUAAAUCAGUGUUUUCCAGCUUCAAACCUGUUCUUUCAGGUUUGUUUUCCCAUAUAACCACUUUACUAUUGAUGGGGUGUAUGUUAUGCCUUAUUGUCUCCAUGCUAUAGUGGCUUUAUUUUCCAUUUUGUAUUGUUUACCAUAAUUCUGGUUCUGCUUGGGUGCUGUUAACUUCCUCCAUUUCAUGUGGUGGUGUCAGUGGGUCUGGGUGUUAUAGCCACCACACCAGGGUGUCUAAUACUCUUUGCUUUUUUUUCUUUGUUUAUCGUUUAGUGUGUUUGUGCAAUUUUGGG